rnacentral:rRNA from 1 species
CCCUUAGAUGUUCUGGGCCGCACGCGCGCUACACUGAUUCAUGCAACAAGUUUUGUCCUUGGCUGAUAGGCCUGGGUAAUCUUUGAACGUGAAUCGUGAUGGGGAUAGAUGAUUGCAAUUAUUCAUCUUCAACGAGGAAUUCCUAGUAAACGCAAGUCAUCAGCUUGCAUUGAUUACGUCCCUGCCCUUUGUACACACCGCCCGUCGCACCCACCGAUUGAAUGGUCCGGUGAAAUCUUCGGAUCUGAGAGAUGUCUGAUUAAUUUCGGACGCCUUUUGGAAAAGUUGCUUAAACCUUACCAUUUAGAGGAAGGUGAAGUCGUAACA